AAUCCAUGCAUCAAACAUUUUUGAAGUAAUUCUUUAAAUAAUUCCCAAGCUUCAUAUAAUGUUUCAUCCUCUAACUGCCGAAAAGAUUUGAUGUCAUUUCUAAGCUU
rfam:Gossypium raimondii Chr02_contig_644, whole genome shotgun sequence.